rnacentral:rRNA from 1 species
CCUACGGGUGGCUGCAGUGAGGAAUAUUGGUCAAUGGGCGGAAGCCUGAACCAGCCAAGUAGCGUGCGGGAUGAAGGCCCUACGGGUCGUAAACCGCUUUUGCACGGGGAUAACACCCUCCACUUGUGGCGGUCUGCAGGUACCGUGCGAAUAAGGGCCGGCUAAUUCCGUGCCAGCAGCCGCGGUAAUACGGAAGGCCCGAGCGUUAUCCGGAUUCAUUGGGUUUAACGGGAGCGUGGGCGGGGGUUAAAGUCAGCUGUAAAAUCGCGGGGCUCAACCGGGCCCAGCAGUUGAAACGGGAAGGCUUGAGUUCACAAGAGGGAGGCGGAAUGCGUGGUGUAGCGAUGAAAUGCAUAGAGAUCACGAGGAACCCCGAUUGCGAAGGCAGCCUGCCGGGGUACGACUGACGCUGAGGCGCGAAGGUGCGGGUAUCAAACAGGAUUAGAUACCCGUGUAGUC